rnacentral:rRNA from 1 species
AACUAUAUCUGGUUGAUCCCGCCAGACAUAUAUGCUUGUUUAAAGGAUUAAGCCAUGCAAAUGUAAGUAUAAGUAACACGUAUGUACGAGACUGUGAACAGCUUAUUAAAAAAGUUAUAAUUUAUUUGAACGUGGAAACUUGAAACAGUUUCUCUGUUAUGUGGAUAACUGUGGGAAAGCUAUAGAUAAUACAUGCAAAAAGGGGAGACUGAGCAAUCAGAAUCCCUGCAUUAACUGGAGGCUAAAGAGACGCAAAAUUGAGAUGAGACACAGUUUACUAAAUAGCAGAGUGAGCGAUCACCGCUUCAUUCAAAUUUCUUAUCUAUCAAUUGUCGAUGGUAAUAUAGUGGAUUACCAUGAUUAUAACGGGUAACAGAGAAUAAGGGUUUUAUUCUGGAGAGGGGGCCUAGAGAGAUUGCCACCACUUCCAAGGAAGGCAGCAGGCGCGCAAAUUACCCAAUAACAACACGUUGAGGUAGUGACAAAAAAUAACGACGGCAUAUAAUGGGGAAACCUAUUAGCCGAUUGUAAUGAGUACAAUGUAAACAAAUUAAUUAGUAUCAACUGGAGGGCAAGUCUGGUGCCAGCAGCCGCGGUAAUUCCAGCUCCAGUAGCGUAUAUUUAAGUUGCUGUAUUUAAAAAGCUCGUAGUUUAGGUGUGGCUAGAGGCGAGCUCCUGGGUGAAAUAAAUUCAUCUUGGAGCUCACUCUGGUCCCUCCUGAGUAAGUAGCACUACACGUAAUUGAAAGAUUACGCGUUGACCGUUCUUACUCACAUUACCAUAAGUAAAAUAGGGUGUUUAAAGCAGGACGUUUGUCCAUUGAAUAAUAGAGUAUGGGAUAAUAGAAGAUGAAAGAGGUAAGAUGCGUUUCACAGCAGUGGCAACAUUGUUGUGUCUUGCCUUUUUAAUGAUUAAAAGGGACUAUUGGGGCAAUUAGUAUUUCUACACGAGCGGUGAAAUGCGUAGACUGUAGAAAGACUCACUAAUGCGAAAGCACUUUGCAAGGGUGUUUUCAUUAAUCAAGAACGAAAGUUAAGGGAUCGAAGAUGAUCAGAUACCGUCGUAGUCUUAACCAUAAACAAUGUCGACAAAGGAUAGGGAGGAGUGCAUAAAUAUGCGCUCUUCAUAAAAAAGGUACUUCGCAUGAGUGUUACUAGCAAUAGUAGCAUUCAUAUAAGGUCUCUCCCUGAAUUUCGUAAGAAAUUAAAGUGAUCGGACUUUGGGGGGAGUAUGGUCGCAAGGCUGAAACUUAAAGGAAUUGACGGAAGGGCACCACCAGGUGUGGAACUUGCGGUUUAAUUUGACUCAACACGGGGAAACUCACCAGGUCAGGACAUAAUAAGGAUUGACAGAUUAGAGAUCUUUCAUGAUUCUAUGGGUGGUGGUGCAUGGCCGAUCUUAGUUCGUGAUAUGAAUUGUCGGCUUAAUUGCGUUAACGAACGAGACCUUUAGAGAUAAAUAGUGCUCUAGUGGCAAUGUCAAAUAUAGUUGGUGUCUCUGGAAGAAGGGCAUGUUCCCCUUUCAGAUGUCAUCGCCAGUUAUAAUUACCACUAGUGGCUGUUGUGAGGGUUUACUCUUGCAGCAUGUGACUUCUUAUUUCGACUAUUGAUGUUCAAUCAAUGUAAGUUAAAGGCAAUAUCAGGUCUGUGAUGCCCUUAGAUGUUCUGGGCGACACGCGUGUUACAAUGGUAAAGUUCAGAGGGUCCUAGUUGUUUUGAAACAGAGCAAUCUGUUGAGAGGCAGCAAAAGCUUGAUAGAAAUAUCUGGCUAAUCCUUAGUGAAUCUUUUUAACCAUAUCUGGGAUAGAUGCUUGUAAUUUUUCAUCUUCAACUUGGAAUACCUAGUAAGCACAGGUCAACAACCUGUGCUGAUUACGUCCCUGCCCUUUGUACACACCGCCCGUCGCUCCUACCGAUUGAAUUGUCCGAUGAGUUGCAAGGAGUCGCGGUCAUCAGCAAUGGUGAUUGCUUCAAAUUGCAACAAAUCUUAUAAUUUAGAGGAAGGAGAAGUCGUAACAAGGUAACCGUAGGUGAACCUGCGGUUGGAUCAUUAAUAAU